UGCAAGUGAGAGAAAGCCAUUGAUGAUUGU
rnacentral:piRNA from 1 species